CAGCCGCCUCGGGAAUACAGAGGGUGCGAGCGUUAAUCGGAUUUACUGGGCGUAAAGCGUGCGUAGGCGGCUUUUUAAGUCGGAUGUGAAAUCCCUGAGCUUAACUUAGGAAUUGCAUUCGAUACUGGGAAGCUAGAGUAUGGGAGAGGAUGGUAGAAUUCCAGGUGUAGCGGUGAAAUGCGUAGAGAUCUGGAGGAAUACCGAUGGCGAAGGCAGCCAUCUGGCCUAAUACUGACGCUGAGGUACGAAAGCAUGGGGAGCAAACAGGAUUAGAUACCCCCGUAGUCCCUGUCUCUUAUAC
rnacentral:rRNA from 1 species